CGAGGUACAUGCUUGUACAUGCUGCACAGCUGAACAUAUUAUUUCGAGCGUUCACAUUUUGGUUUGAAAGCCAUUGGAAAGACUUGAAGAACAAACUAAACAAAACGACAUGGACCACGCUGACCUGAAGGGAACUUUUGAAAAGGAAAGAACCGAAAAGCAGAAUGAGGAUAAUGAGGCUCCUACACCGCCCAGUCCGGAUCGCGCACCAGCUGUCUCUCCUCAGGAUUCUGUGCCUAUUGUGCCCAAUGCAUUGGUCGUGAAUGCGCUGUCCCUAAACAAAAAAAAGUCGAUCCUACAGCG